UAUGUGCCCACCUGCACUGGCAACCAGUGUGGCUUGUGUGACUGCAAGCGUGGUCACAUGGGGCAGGUCACAUGACUAACUAGGAAGUUAUAAAGUUUGGUUUGUUGAGAGCUCACAUUCUCUUGCUGCUGCCACCACUUGCUCUUUGUGACUGUUAAGGUCCCCUGUCAUGCAGGGUGAAUGCUAGAACCAUGUGUUUCACUCUUCAUGGAGGACACUGAGGUGACUGCCUGAUUUUAAGAUUUAUCAGUGCUGGGCUACAGACACUGAUGCUCUGGUAAUUUGUUUUAUAUUUAUGAUCUUAGUUGUUUGUUUACAUUGGUAGUUAUAAAUCAAUUAACUGUUUCUUUAAAUCUGUAGCACUGGAAUGUUCCUUUCUUCCUGUGUCACUGUGCUAUGGGGAGUAGUGAACGCUCUUGCAAAGGACCAGGCCAGCCACUGUUUUACUGUUAGUUUUUGGGUUUGUUUGUUUGCUUUCAUUUUGUUUGUCUUUUUGUUUGUUUGCAUGGUCUCUCUGUAACUGCUGGGACUAACAUCACUUGCUUAAGCUCGCACGCUUACAGCUCUUGUGCUGUGAGCUGACUGUUCCUCUUUUGUCCCAUCAUAUACUGUAGGCUGUCUCUGUACAAGGCCGGAUCCGCAACUCAGUACUGCUCCUUUCGGGUUGGGUGGCACAUGGAGGGAGCCAUUUUCUCGGUGUGUACUGGUCAGCAACACGGUGUGUACUGGUCAACAACACGGUGUGUACUGGUCAGCAACACGGUGUGGUAUUUUGUAGUGGUAUCCUGUAGUGGUAUUUACUUCUUGUGUUUGCAGUGCUUGCCGUGUUGCAUUCUUUUGUGGUGCUGGGUUUGCUGUCUCUCUCUCCCUCUCUCACCAGGGCCUCUCUCCAAGACGGGAGCUGUGUGUGCUGACCCGACCUUAUUAGCCUGAGGAGUCUCAGCCAGUUAUC